GCGAACGGGUGAGUAACACGUGGGUGAUCUGCCCUUCACUUCGGGAUGAGCCUGGGAAACUGGGUCUAAUACUGGAUAGGACCAUCGUUUAGUGUCGGUGGUGGAAAGUUUUUUCGGUGGAGGAUGAGCUCGCGGCCUAUCAGUUUGUUGGUGAGGUAGUGGCUCACCAAGGCGAUGACGGGUAGCCGGCCUGAGAGGGCGACCGGCCACACUGGGACUGAGAUACGGCCCAG
rnacentral:rRNA from 1 species